CAGAUCUCUCUUUCACUUCUUCCUCUGACUGCUCUUAUCCAUGGCUUCUAUUUACCAUUCUGCCAUUCUUCUCUUCUGUUUUAUCCACCCUCUGCUCGCUGCUUUAGUUCAAGAGCAACCCCUGGUGCUCAAGUACCACAACGGUGUUCUCUUAAAGGGAAACGUCACCGUUAAUUUAGUCUGGUACGGAAAGUUUACUCCUAUUCAACGCUCCAUAAUCGUUGAUUUCAUCACCUCUUUGAACUCCAACAGAGCGCCACUUCCCUCCGCCGCCUUUUGGUGGAAGACCACCGAGAAGUACCGUGGUGGUUCUUGCUCUCUUAGAGUCGGUCGUCAAAUCCUACACGAAGAGUACACUCUUGGAAAAGUCCUUAAGACUACGCAUUUACUUGCUUUGGCCUCGAAAACAAACUUCGCGAUCGAUUCCAUUAACGUUGUUUUGACGGCGAAGGACGUCGCUGUUGAUGGAUUUUGCAUGAGCAGGUGCGGCACUCACGGGUCUUCUCGCGGGCCGGCUCGGGGUACCUACAUCUGGGUUGGAAACUCGGAGACUCAAUGUCCAGGUCAAUGCGCCUGGCCUUUCCACCAGCCUAUUUAUGGCCCACAGACUCCACCGUUGGUGGCGCCUAACGGAGACGUUGGAGUUGACGGUAUGAUCAUAAACUUGGCUACUCUCUUGGCGAACACCGUCACCAAUCCUUUUAAUAGCGGUUACUUUCAAGGCCCACCCACUGCCCCUCUCGAGGCCGUAUCCGCUUGCACGGGUAUAUUUGGGUCGGGGUCUUACCCGGGAUAUCCGGGUCGGCUAUUGGUGGACAAGGCCACGGGGGCAAGCUACAACGCCCACGGUGUCAAUGGACGCAAGUACCUGUUACCGGCUAUGUGGGACCCGCAAACAAGUGCAUGCAAAACGCUUGUGUGAUGAAGACACCUGGCAAUAGGGGUUGUAAACGUGGCGGAAAUCUGUGCGGUGUAAUGUAGAUAUAUGGGGGAGGUCUGAUGGUGGGAGGGUGGGAAGGAUGUGGAAUAUAGUAUCUUUUUGGGUUUUUUUUUUAUGUUGUUUUGAACUUGUACUGUGUACGCUCGAUGGCUUGUCGCUUUGCGUGACGUGUAAAGUGAAAUUACCAAAAAGGAAAUGGGUAAAAAAUUAAUAAAAAAUAAUUAAAAAGUUGAGAAUGAGAUUAGGCAAUGGAGGAUUUGUGUUGUGCUGGGGGCGGGGAGACCAUCACCGCUUGCUUUAGUUUAGUGAAAUGGGAAGGUCAGAGGUGCAUCGCAUCAUGAAAUGGUGGGGACCAUCUGGCCCAUCAGCAAUCAUGGCUUGAGGAUAAGAAUAAGACCAUCCAUUAUUUCUCGUGAAUAUGCUCGUGAAUCUUCCUUUGGAAGCAGAAGCCAUCGCACAAUUUGAGAUAUUUUUUUUCAUGCUCAAGUAAUGAUUGUAAAAAGAAAUUAAAAAUAAAAUUCAUGCAGUCCAUGGUCUAAUCUUCUGAAGCCUUGUGUUGGUCCUGUUAAGCUCUGAAACGUUGCUAGUGCAUGAGCCUCCCACUUCCACACACUGCUAGUGCAAGAACUUGGUAGGCUUGCCAAAUUCUCAGGACGAUACUUCCUAGAAUCAGGGUGUUAGAAGAUGGAUAAGGCGAUAUUGCAAGCAUUUAAACUUAUCAUACGGUUUUAUCAUGCUAGUGCUCUGUUUUCACAGCAACAAAAACAGCAUUGUGCCAAGAUUCCCAGUCUUCACGAUCAAAACCAACGGUACCAAAAACCGGAACGGGCGCCUAUGCCUUGAUACAAUAAUCAACAUACAGCAGUGAAGGAAACUUUCAAACUUAAGCUCAAGCAAGAAUAUGUUAUAGAAAGCAUUGUCUGUCGAAAUCAUAAGUUGUUUUGUCUGCUUAAUUCUCACACAUGCCACCACACUAAUACAAGGGGCAAAACUUCGCCUUUGCUCAUUGAUUUACCCAAAACAUUAUGAUCCAUGAUAACAAAAGAGAAACUAAUAAUUUUGCUGGAUCUGUCUAUCUGGAUUCAGCCAUAGGGGCUGUAACGCAUAGGCAUU
rnacentral:misc_RNA from 1 species